UCAAGAAAAGUAGAAUUGUUUUUUUCCCCAUCGGGAAUAAAAGGCAUGUGUAUGUGUCAUUUAUAACCUAAAAUGUGCUUUUCCCAUAUCUUAAUGUGCUCCUACUCUAGGCGAGUCGAAAUAAUGUAAUCCAAGAACAAUGAAACGAUAACUGCAACAAGAAAAAGAUUGAACCACACCUGUAGUACAAAGCACUAGUUUCAUAAAAAGUGUACGACUGUAAUCAGCUUCAUGGAAAAAAUUAAAUAGCAAUGGAUUUUGUGUUGAUAUUCUACGCACAAAUCAUCUUACUUCUUUUAGAAACAACGUCAUCGCAAUACGAGUACCAGAGCGUACAAACCGCAUACUACCAAAACCCGUAUCAAAACAUUUAUCAAAACAAUUACCCGAUGGACGGAUUUGAAACAAACAAUGAUUACGAAGAACCAGAGAAUUACAGACGCUCUAGAAAACACAAGCGCAAACGUUACGGCAGCAGCGGCGGCAGAUUACCUUUACUAGAAGACAGUAACGAAGAAUCUGAGGAGUGCACGUGCUCCUGCAACAGUUGCGCGAACAUCAAGCCUUGUUGCAAAGACGCUUGCAACUGCAACACUCAGAGCCAACCAAACGUUGUCAUCAUGCCGUAUCUUUACCCGCUGGUUGUAACUCAAACUACAAGCACAACUACGACGACUACGACCACCCCGAAGCCAAUUCGAAUACAAGACACGAAUAUUCACUUAGACAAUAGACCGAUAAGCCGUAGACGGACCAAGCCCGUCUGGUUGCCAAAAUAUGGCAUAGUCCCGCUACCAGAUCAUCUGGCUGAGAGAUUGAUGUCAAAGCUGCGCGAAGUAAAAGGGCUAAAAGCGGAGCGAAGAAAGAGAUAAAUGCUUUUCUAUACGUAUCUCACUUCUUAUUCUUACUAAUAUUACAAAUGCGAAGGUUUGUGAAAGUGUUUGGAUGUUUGUUAAAAGUAAACAGAGAAGUAACUAAAUACAUUUCAGUGGAAUUUGGCACAUGAAUGGAUCUCCUGGAUUACCAUAUAGACUACUUUUUCUCUCAAUAAUUUACUUCCACGGAAAUUGAAUUUUAUAAUCUGAUUUCUUGAAUAGAAGGCGCUAACGUCGAGCAGAUCGCUCCAUGGAUAGUUGUGUUUUAGGGACUUUUAAAGCAGAAAAGGCUUUUUACGCCGUCGAAGCCACGAGCAAGACCUAGAAAGUUAUGUUUUUAUAACAGUUAAAAAAUACCAUAUAUCGUGUAAUUCUGCAUAUUGUAUUCAGCUUUCCACAAUACUCGAUGUUACCAAAAAGAGUUUGGAUUCGAGCUCUUCUAAUUAAUUUAAAAAUAGCAUAGGCGUACUUCUAAUAUUAUUAUUGUGGUGAUAAGUACAAUAGUGCUAUAUUCUUAAUGUAGAGAGCAAUGGACUAUCUUCGUAAACAUGUCUUCUUCAUCGCCUUUGACGUAGUUCUUAAAUACGUGUUUGUUACAUUUAAAGCACCUGCUCUUUUGAACGAGAACUAUUCAAAAUAAUAAUACGGCAUGAAUACAAUUUCUUCUGAAAUGCUGAGGUUAUUCUGAGAUGUGAUUCAUCUUUUAACCCAUUUACUGAUAAUCCAGGUCUGAUCGUAGUGCUCAUCGGAAUUAUUGCCGUUUACCAUAGUUACUUUAGUUCAUUUUUAUUUUUAUAUGAAAACGUUAAAGUUUAUAUAAAUUUUGUAGAGUUUGGCGUUUGUGUAAGUAAUAAAAUUGCGUUGAUUUAUUUUAUUGGUUAUAUUUCAAGUGUUCGCAUUACUUUUCACUUCAUAUUGCUGUGCAAUAUUUAUGUAUCCUACGAUUACUAAGCAUUUGCAGUGCGUUAUAUUUCUUCAAAAAGAAUAAAAUUGAAAUAACAAGCAAAAUUUUAUUGAUUUACACAAAAGGAUUAUGUUCAUGUUACAAAUACAAAUAGUUUAUAACCUCAUCUCAACAAUAUCGACGCAAUACUUUAAACUUCACCAACCACCUUUACAAGCAGUACCAUAUUACCAACCAAACUAUCUGCCAAAUAAUUACUUCCAUCAAGAAACGGAUUCCAGUGAAGACUCCGAUGGGAGACGAUGUAAAUGCUCAUGUUUUGACUGUUCACGACCUAAGCGAUGUUGUAGAAGAGUGUGUAGAAAUUGCAAGACAAAAGAGGUCCAAGGACUUGUCGUGGUACCCUAUCCUGUUCCCCUGCUAAUGUAUUCUACAGAAAAAACAGUUGAAAGUUCAACUAAAUCAAAAGAAAAUAAAACAAAAUUACUUUCCCUUGAAAGUGAGAAUAUAAGUACGUUCUCUACAGCUCCAGUUUAUGUUGAAGAUGGUGAUGAUAUAAAAAGUGUUAAUACAAAUAAGGUACAUUUAGGAGCAUCUAAUCAUAAGUACUCAAACUUGAAAAAUAAAAAUAAAUAUAUGGUGGCGCGGAUUAAUGAAGACUACAGACCAAAUAAGAAUACUGUUAUUAGGUUUAAGAAAUUAGAUGACAGGAAGAAAUACGAAGUGAUACCUUUGCCUAAUAAGUUAGCUAUUGAAGUACUAAAGGGGCUGCAAAAAUAUGACGAUCUUAAACUGAAAUAAUAAGGUGUAUUUCGCAUUUUUCAUGUAAUCUGUCGCAAGCCGGUGAAUUUUUUUCGCAUAGUUUUCUCAGCCACUUAAAGCAAUGUUGGUAAAUGUACAGGAAAUAAUUUGUAAAAUAUAUUAUUCAUUUUAUUCGUGGCUUUCCAAUUUAUAUUUUGUCAAGCCCUAUGCGUAUUGCUUAUUGAAAAACUAUGAUUACCGAAAGUUCAUUGUACAUAUCAUAAUGACAAAUUUUGUAAUAAAAAUAGAAUAUAAGCUUAUUUACCCGGGGAAACUAAUGCUGUACAGUUUUCAAAUACUUUCGAAAAUUCCGCUAUAUUUGUUAUCUACGCUUAAAAAGUAUAACUCGAUUUCUGUUUUACAAAGGGUUAUCAUUUCGAUUUUUAUUAUAAUUUGACACAAAUACCUAUUUUCAACACUGCAAUCCUCUCACUUCACUCACGUUUUCGCGGCAAAAUUCUGAUGGUCAGAUAUUAACGAAUUAACCGAUGUUUGGACAAUGGCGCGUGUCGUGACCUUUCAGAGGAGUACGAGACUGCGCGUGAGUCGGGGUCACUGAUGUUAGAGUAUUUUUAGAGUUGAAAGUUCAAAAUACG
rnacentral:lncRNA from 1 species